AGGGGUUGUAGAGCCCCACCCAGUGCAGCUGGUGAGUGGCGGUAGGGGCACUGCACGCAGAACAGAGGGUUUGCGUCUGAGCUUCCUGCUAGAACAGUGAGCCAGGAACCAGACGGGCUGAGUACCUGAGAUUCUUUGCAGCCUGGCAGG